GGGAGCAAUCCUGGCGACGAGCGGCGAACGGGUGAGUAAUGCUUCGGAAUCUGCCCAAUAGUGGGGAAUAACUAGCCGAAAGGUUAGCUAAUACCGCAUACGACCUACGGGUGAAAGCAGGGGAUCGCAAGACCUUGCGCUGAUGGAUGAGCCGAAGUCGGAUUAGCUAGUUGGUAGGGUAACGGCCUACCAAGGCGACAAUCCGUAGCUGGUCUGAGAGGGCGACCAGCCACACUGGGACUGAGACACGGCCCAGACUCCUACGGGAGGCAGCAGUGGGGAAUAUUGGACAAUGGGGGCAACCCUGAUCCAGCGACGCCGCGUGUGUGAAGAAGGCCUGCGGGUUGUAAAGCACUUUUAGUGGGGAUGAAAAGCCUAGGGUUAAUACCCCUGGGUCUUGACCUAACCCACAGAAAAAGCACCGGCUAACUCUGUGCCAGCAGCCGCGGUAAUACAGAGGGUGCAAGCGUUA
rnacentral:rRNA from 1 species